AACGAACGCUGGCGGCAGGCCUAAUACAUGCAAGUCGAGCGCCCCGCAAGGGGAGCGGCGCACGGGUGCGUAACACGUGGGAAUAUGCCCUUGGGUGCGGAACAACAUCGGGAAACUGAUGCUAAUACCGCAUAAUGACUCCGGUCCAAAGAUUUAUCGCCCAAGGAUUAGCCCGCGUUGGAUUAGCUAGUUGGUGAGGUAACGGCUCACCAAGGCAACGAUCCAUAGCUGGUCUGAGAGGACGACCAGCCACACUGGGACUGAGACACGGCCCAGACUCCUACGGGAGGCAGCAGUAAGGAAUAUUGGACAAUGGGGGAAACCCUGAUCCAGCCAUGCCGCGUGAGUGAUGAAGGCCUUCGGGUUGUAAAGCUCUUUUAGAUGUGACGAUGAUGACGGUAACAUCAGAAAAAGCUCCGGCUAACUUCGUGCCAGCCGCCGCCGUAA
rnacentral:rRNA from 1 species